CAGUCGCCGCGGUAAUACAGAGGGUGCGAGCGUUAAUCGGAUUUACUGGGCGUAAAGCGUGCGUAGGCGGCUUCUUAAGUCGGAUGUGAAAUCCCUGAGCUUAACUUAGGAAUUGCAUUCGAUACUGGGAAGCUAGAGUAUGGUAGAGGAUGGUAGAAUUCCAGGUGUAGCGGUGAAAUGCGUAGAGAUCUGGAGGAAUACCGAUGGCGAAGGCAGCCAUCUGGCCUAAUACUGACGCUGAGGUACGAAAGCAUGGGGAGCAAACAGGAUUAGAUACCCGAGUAGUCCCUGUCUCUUAUAC
rnacentral:rRNA from 1 species